rnacentral:rRNA from 1 species
GACGAACGCUGGCGGCGUGCUUAACACAUGCAAGUCGAACGGAAAGGCCCUGCUUUUGUGGGGUGCUCGAGUGGCGAACGGGUGAGUAACACGUGAGUAACCUGCCCUUGACUUUGGGAUAACUUCAGGAAACUGGGGCUAAUACCGGAUAGGAGCUCCUGCUGCAUGGUGGGGGUUGGAAAGUUUCGGCGGUUGGGGAUGGACUCGCGGCUUAUCAGCUUGUUGGUGGGGUAGUGGCUUACCAAGGCUUUGACGGGUAGCCGGCCUGAGAGGGUGACCGGCCACAUUGGGCCUGAGAUACGGCCCAGACUCCUACGGGAGGCAGCGGUGGGGAGUAUUGCACAAUGGGCGGAAGCCUGAUGCAGCAACGCCGCGUGCGGGAUGACGGCCUUCGGGUUGUAAUCCGCUUUCGCCUGUGACGAAGCGUGAGUGACGGUAAUGGGUAAAGAAGCACCGGCUAACUACGUG